UAGAGUCUUUGAACGCAAGUUGCGCCCGAAGCCAUUAGGCCGAGGGCACGUCUGCCUGGGCGUCA
rnacentral:rRNA from 1 species